rnacentral:rRNA from 1 species
UACGUAGGGUGCGAGCGUUAAUCGGAAUUAUUGGGCGUAAAGAGCUUGUAGGCGGUUUGUCGCGUCUGCUGUGAAAAUCCGGGGCUCAACCCCGGACUUGCAGUGGGUACGGGCAGACUAGAGUGUGGUAGGGGAGACUGGAAUUCCUGGUGUAGCGGUGGAAUGCGCAGAUAUCAGGAGGAACACCGAUGGCGAAGGCAGGUCUCUGGGCCACUACUGACGCUGAGAAGCGAAAGCAUGGGGAGCGAACAGG